rnacentral:rRNA from 1 species
UACAGAGGGGGCAAGCGUUGUUCGGAAUUACUGGGCGUAAAGGGCGCGUAGGCGGCCUUCUAAGUCAGACGUGAAAUCCCUCGGCUCAACCGGGGAACUGCGUCUGAGACUGGAAGGCUUGAAUCCGGGAGAGGGAUGUGGAAUUCCAGGUGUAGCGGUGAAAUGCGUAGAUAUCUGGAGGAACACCGAUGGCGAAGGCAGCCUCCUGGGCCAACACUGACGCUCAUGCACGAAAGCGUGGGGAGCAAACAGG